UAUUUAACCGCGGCAGAGUACUGGCAGUGAAUAUCCGAGAAGUAAAUAGCUGGAUCGAAAUAAACCCGAUAAAUUCCCUAUGCCAACCAUGAAAGGAAGAGCCUGUGGGGAGGAAGAAUUUCCACGCGAAGUUAAUGUAUGUCACAUGAACUUCGAGAAAAGUGGCGGGUGUUAAGAAUUUCUUCCAUUUUGAAGAAGAAGAACAGCGUGAAGUUGCGAGGAUAGGGAGCUUCACAGACUGUCACUCCUGGCUGCUGGCUGUAUAGAAUGCUGACAUUUCCUGAGAUUUGAGGGAAUGGAGGUCUGGAGCAUCCUUUCUGUCCUACCUGGGCAGAAUGUCUGGAAGACUCUUUCAUGAAGCAGGAAUCCUGCAGGACCAUCCCAUCUUUAAGUAUAACAGUCACUUUCUGUGGGUUCUACAUUUCAUGGAGAGAUGCAAUGAAGAAUCAGCUGUAGAGAACAAUGGUAGGGAUCCUGCUGCCUGAUAACGCACCCAGCAUGGCAACUUUACUAUGUGAAACUGUAGUAACUACACAAAGGAGUAACUGGAAAAGUCCACUUCAGCUCCAUUAGAGAGACUACGUAUCAUCCAAACCACAGGUUGGUGUGACUGUGAGCGAAUCUUUUCUGCUUGGACUAAGGAGCCUGGAGCCCAGCUUUUAAUUCACUUGUAUUACUGUAUGACUUAUUGGGUUAGUAUCAUACUGUCUCUGACUCCCUCCUUCCCCCCUUUAUCAUAAUUCAUUCAUUUAUUUCUUCACCUUACAUACAUUUCUUACAAAAUUGUUUCAAAUCCUUCUUACAGCCAAACAGGAUAUACAUUCAUAUAUAUGUACAAUUCAAGUAGAGUCAUAAAUGCCAAAAAAAAUCUUAAAAUAAAAAAUUAACCUAUAUUUAUGUCUAUGU